AUCUUCAGUAAGAGCGCUGAGCUACCACCAUGAGGUCGCUGACAUCUGCUAUCCUGUUGUGUUCGCUCGCUGCAACCUCACAGGUUGAGGCGUCAACUUUGACGAAAGCAGCAUCUCAAAGGGACAACUUCUGGGAGAUUAUUAGCUCGGUGUUGGACGUCGUUUGCUUUCUUAAGGACUCCCCAUGGUGCGACCUUAACCAACGAUUGGGGUUGUUCAUCGGUGAUACUUAUUUCACAUAUGAAGAAGCUGACGCCGUUGGGAAGAAAAUCGCCCAACUUCGAAAAGAGGGAAUGCGGGAUCCGAAACAGAUCAUCGAAACGCUCCUCCGGUCCUUGGAGGUAGCAGAAAGAGCACUCCACAAUUACAAGCAACUGAGAGAGCUGAUUAACAAAAUAAAUGAACUAUUGAAUGAUGUCGAUACAAACGGGGAGCAAAAUGUGAAGACAUUGGGGAGACUGUAACUGAUACUGUGUCACCAAGUGAUUAAAUUUUUUGCAGUGA